AUUUUCUAUUUAUUCGCUUUGAAUCUCUGAAAUCUCUUCGAUUUUCGUUGUUUGUUAUGGAUUUACUAUUUUUUCCCCAUAAUUAUGGAUUUACUAUUUUCUGUUUGAUUUAUUGUCAAUCUGAGCUCUGAUCUGAACUUUCUACUUUAUUAAUUUCCUUAGUUUAUAUUUCAUUUCUUAAACGAAAUCUGGAAGUAGUUUCACUUUGCAGUUGUAAUUUAUUGGUUUGGAUUGUGGAAUUUUCAUUCAACUUGAAUGAAGUGAGCUCAAUUGUUGGGCGCAUUUGUGUGGAGUGAUUUUGCUGUAUUGGAUAAUGAAUGUGAAGCUAAAUUA
rnacentral:misc_RNA from 1 species